GUCUAUGGCCAUGCUACCCUGAACAAGCCCCAUCCUGUCUGAUCUCAAAAGCUAAGCAGGAUCGGGCCUGUUUAGUACUUGGAUGGGAGAUCACCUAGGAAGACCAAGUGCUGUAGGCA
rnacentral:rRNA from 1 species